UACGGGGGGGUGCGAGCGUUGUCCGGAAUCACUGGGCGUAAAGGGCGCGUAGGUGGCCUGAUAAGGGUGUGGUGAAAGUCCGGGGGCUCAACCCCGGAUCUGCCGUGCCGACUGUUUGGGCUGGAGUACUGUAGGGGCAGGCGGAAUUUCCGGGUGUAGCGGUGGAAUGCGUAGAGAUCCGGAGGAAGACCGGUGGCGAAGGCGGCCUGCUGGGCAGUUUACUGACACUGAGGCGCGACAGCGUGGGGAGCAAACAGG
rnacentral:rRNA from 1 species